CAAGCCUGAUCCAGCCAUGCCGCGUGGGUGAAGAAGGCCUUCGGGUUGUAAAGCCCUUUUGUUGGGAAAGAAAAGCAGCCGGCCAAUACCCGGUUGUUCUGACGGUACCCAAAGAAUAAGCACCGGCUAACUUCGUGCCAGCAGCCGCGGUAAUACGAAGGGGGCUAGCGUUGUUCGGAUUUACUGGGCGUAAAGCGCACGUAGGCGGACUUUUAAGUCAGGGGUGAAAUCCCGGGGCUCAACCCCGGAACUGCCUUUGAUACUGGAAGUCUUGAGUAUGGUAGAGGUGAGUGGAAUUCCGAGUGUAGAGGUGAAAUUCGUAGAUAUUCGGAGGAACACCAGUGGCGAAGGCGGCUCACUGGACCAUUACUGACGCUGAGGUGCGAAAGCGUGGGGAGCAAACA
rnacentral:rRNA from 1 species